GAUGAAGAACGUAGCGAAAUGCGAUAAGUAAUGUGAAUUGCAGAAUUCAGUGAAUCAUCGAAUCUUUGAACGCACAUUGCGCCCUCUGGUAUUCCGGGGGGCAUGCCUGUUCGAGCGUCAUUUCAACCAUCAAGCCCCCGGCUUGUGUUGGGGACCUGCGGCUGCCGCAGGCCCUGAAAACCAGUGGCGGGCUCGCUGUCACACCGAGCGUAGUAGAUUUUCAUCUCGCUCAGGGCGUGCUGCGGGUUCCGGCCGUAAAAAGCCUUAUUUACCCAAGGUUGACCUCGGAUCAGGUAGGAAGACCCGCUGAACUUAAGCAUAUCAAUAAGCGGAGGA
rnacentral:misc_RNA from 1 species